rnacentral:lncRNA from 1 species
UGUCCCACAGCCACCGUGACGGUGCCAGGCCCUCUGCACAGGUGGGCUCACUGCAGCUGAGGGCUUGUGCCCGUCAUCCAGGGGCGUUUGUGUAGCCUUAGCCUCUCUGUGUCAACUAAUCAUGUUUGUAUUUUCUCCCCCUCACCUCAGGUUUCCUUAGGAAAUAAAGAAAGAAGCAAAGGUGUAUUCUACAAAGCACUUCAGAAUUGCCCUUGGGCAAAGGUGUUGUACCUGGACGCCGUGGAGUAUUUCCCCGAUGAGAUGCAGGAGAUCCUGGACCUGAUGACUGAGAAGGAGCUCCGGGUGCGCCUGCCGCUGGAGGAGCUGGAGCUGCUGCUGGAGGAUUAGAGAGCAGCGGGAAAACGGGCUGUGCCUGCGAGGCCAAGUUGCCCACCCUGCGGAGCUAGGAGGCGCGAGCAGAGAACGUGUGUGUUAGGAGAACUCGGCUUUUGAAAUGUUCUUUCUCGAUAGUAAUAAUGUGGGCUGCCAGCCUCUCACAUCUUGCACACUUUUUGGGUGUGUAAAUGACACAAAAGUUAUUUACAUAUUAUAUAUGUGAAUAUGUGUAUAUAUGUACAUAGCCAGAGAGUCAUGCCACGUGGUCAUUAAACCGAUGAUGAUUG